rnacentral:piRNA from 1 species
AAGUGCAUUACAGCACAGGCCAAGUGC